rnacentral:lncRNA from 1 species
GAUGACAAAUUUGUUUACCUUGAUUAUCUUUGCAAAAUAUUUUAGUAAGACUCAUAAUUACAUCAGUGUUCUACCUAACCAAAUGCUAGUUUUGAAAUAUUUAAUGCCAGAUAAAAUUUCACUACUAAAAUGUUCAAACUGAGUCAUUUUUUAAAUAAAAAUGGAAACAUGAGAAUAUACUCAAAUGUUUAACUAUAUUAGCAAAUAAAAACAGAAUUGAAAUGAGUCACACUGGACUUCAAAUCUCUAGCAUUUACCAAAUUCUGUGGUGCUUGGCAAGUUGCUUAGCCUUUGCCAUCCAGUUCUUUAUCAGUAAAAAGAUUAACUUACCUUGCAGGUUAUAAGGAUGAAAUGAGCAAAGGGCCAGGCACAUAGGUAUUCAAUAAAGGGUAUACUAUUAAUAUUGCCACUUUAAUUGUCUUACUGUGGAAUUUAUCAGUUUUAUAAUCAUAGAAAUUUAUUAAUUCAUAGCUCUUUUUGGAGUUCCAGUGUUUUUUAAGUUUUUAAAGGAACUAGCAGUUUUUGUUUGUUUGUUUGUUUGUUUGUUUUUGGAGACGGAGUCUCGCACUUUUGGCCCAGGCUGGAGUGCAGUGGCAUGAUCUUGGUUCACAGGAACUAGCAGUUUUUUUAAAUACAGCAGCUUUUUCAAUUAAUAGUGGCUUAGACACCACUGUGAAUGCUUGAAAGCACUUUUGUGAGUUUUUUUCCACUACAUGAAUAUGUUAGAUAAAAACUUAUAAAACUUUUAGGGACAAAAGACAGUUAAAUUCAUUGCCUAUCCCACACGGGGUAACAACCUUGGAAGACAUAUCAGAAAUAAAGCAAUUAUCUGGAUGGAUAGUCUGGAUGAACAUGACACAUAAAAAAGGUGCUGAUAGUUCUUCUGAAACAAUCCCUUUAAUGUCCUAGUCAUUUAAAACACACAUUCAGGAGAAGCCCGAAAUAGAAAGCUUUAAUGAAAAUUACUAAGUUUUGUCCAUUACCUUGAAUUUGGUUACUAUAGUAUCUAAAUUACAUUCUGUAACAAAUGCAUAUGUACAUGUGUUAGAAUCUUGUGUGUGGAAUUUGGUGAGACUUAUUAGACUCAACUAUUAGAAGACUAAAGGACCUCUGAUAUAUCUGCAAUUAUUGUUUUUAAUUAUAAUUACAUAGAUCUAUUUACAUGGACUUUGAGGACAGAUAGUUAUGCAAUUCAAUCAUGACUGAUUUCUCAUACAAAUCAACCUUUGAGUCACAUCACCUUUUGAAAACGCCUACUAAAAACAAAACAGUUAAUGUAGCUGAACAGGAACUGACUGUGGCUCAAAGCUGUGCCAAGGCUCUAAGGCUCAUUUUAUUGAGGUAGGGAGAUCAGCCUGUAUUAUCCAUGUGAGCUCAAUGUGAUCACAAGGGUUUUGAAAAGUGGAAGAAGGAAGCAGGAAAAUUCAGAGUCGGGGCGAUGUGGCUACAGAUGAAUGGUCAGGGAGAUGCAACUACUGGCUUUGAAGAUAGGGGGAAGAAGGGUCACAAGUCAAGGAAUUGAGUGCCCUCCAGAAGCCAGAAAAGAUAAACUACAACUGUACCCAAAGCCUUUCUGAAUGAAGAUUUAUCAUCCUGAGGAGAAAAACCAAAGGCCACUAGGAAAUGAGGGUGUACAACACCCUUCCAGAGCCAACUUCAACAAACUCAAAUUUAUGUACAUCCUAAUCUAAAAUUUUUCUUUUCCUACAUAUAAAGGAAAUUAAAUAAAAAACCUGUCCGUUUCAGUUACA